AAUUCAUUUGUAUUAUAUUUUAGAUUCCACAUAUUGGAUAUCAUAUGAUACUUGUCUUUCUCUGACUGAUUUACUUCACUUAGGUAAUCUCUAGGUCCGUCCAUGUUGCUGCAAAUGCGAUUAUUCCAUUCUUCAUUUCUGAGUAAUGUUCCCUUGUAUAUACACAAUAUGUAUAUACAAUAUCUUCCUUAUCCAUUCAUCUGUUGAUGAACAUUUAAUUGCUUCUAUGUCUUGGCUAUUGUAAAUAAUGCUGCUAUGAACAUUGGGGUGCAUGUAUCUUUUUGAAUUAUAUUUUUCUCCAGAUAUAUGCUUAGGAGUGAGAAAACUAGAUAAUAUGACAAUUUUAUUUUUAGUUUUUUGAGCAAACUUCAUACUGUUUUCCAUAGUGGCUUCACAAAUUUACAUUCUCACCAGUAAAAGUCAUAAAUUUUACAUUUAAAACUUGAAAAAAAUUUUCAUAACCUCUCUGUUUCAGCCAACAAACAUUUUUGGAACACUAUGAGUCAGUUAUUGCAAUGAAGACAUCAAGUUGAAUUAGAGUAGUAUAAAAUCCAGUACCAUUAUUUGUAUUGCCCGUCUCAAGUAGACAUGAGGGAAAAUGGGUCUGUGAGUUAGAGGCUGGAGAAACAGAAAUAUCUUUUUUUACAGAAGCAUGUGAAGAUGGGGUUUUUAUCUUUCUGGUUUUCUAGGCUGGUUGGUCUUUGUAACAAUGUCCAUUAAGACAUGGGUUUGUAAAUAAUACCAUAAACUCAGCUUGAGAAAUGUUCUUACAGUGUAGUUAACUUUUUAGAAAUGUAAUAAACUAAAUAGAUAUUAUGCCCCCCAUUCACCCAUUAAAAUACUUUGCUCUACAAAUUCUAGAAAAAAAAUUCAUUGUUUUCAAUGGAUUUUCACAUCCCUCAAAAAUAAAAAUAAAUAUAUUCUUUUUUUUUAUAUUGGGUCUUAUGAGUUUUGUAGACCUACCUUAAUUGUUUCUACCCCAGAAAAUUUAGAAUUACUGUCUUGAAAAUAGAAACAAAUUUUUCAUGAAAUCAUGAAAAUCAUCUUAUAUAAAUUAUCCAGUUUUGCCUUAUUUAACUUCUCUUUGCUGGAGAAUGUUUAACAGGUUGAUAGAAAAUUUCUCUCUUGAAUACUUUCAGGAAUCAGACUUCAGGAGGUGGCAUUCCUAGUCUACUGUGUUAGUGUCUAGGGAAUGUGCUGUCAUAUAUGUGGACAUUUGCACAGCUGUUCCAUCCCCAUUAUACCACGUACUAUGGCUCUGCCCUGGUAAUUAACCCACCGUCCACUAACAACACAAACAAUAUAAAUGAAGUUUGCCAUGUGUUUUAAUGUAGAUAAUAAAGGUGCAAAUAAUGGCCUGCUGGUCAUCCUGUCACCUAAAUUGAAAUUACCAAGAUUCUGGUGAGAUCAAAAAGUGCACAGUUGAAGUUGAAAAAAUUUUAUAUAUGAAAGCCUAAAGUUCAAUUUUUUAAACAUAUAAUUUUAAAAACAUACAGUUCUAAGUUAUCUAUAGAAAAUAGGUCAGCAAAAAUACUGAGUUAUUUGAGAUGAAAAGUAAGGUAAAUAUUACCACCUGUAUUAUUUCUUUCUCUAUAGUCCUAGAAUAUUAUUUAAAUAUGAAUAUAUGAAUAUAAAGAGUAGAAAUAAUAUUUCUUCUCUAUUGAUUUUUUUAAAAUAUAGUAAAAGCCAAGAAGUAAAAGUGUCUUGAUUCCCAGGCUAUUAAUCCAAAUUUUUUUCCUAAAUGAAAUAUCCUAUUUAUAUCACACAUUCACUGUAACAUCUCUAACUAUGCAUAUGUAAUAUAUAUUUAUAUAUGAGUAAAUUUACAUAUAUACAUAUGGAUUUUAUCUUUACUUACAUCUACAUAUUUAUGAAUAUUUAUUAUCAUAAUUAAAAAUUAAGGAUCAUUGGUCUAUCAGUGUGCUCUCUUGAUAUAUCUAUAUUCAGAUUCUGUAAGUGCUUAUUUUUUUUUUUGGUUGUAGCUGCAGCAUGUAGAAGUUCCCAGGCCAGGGACUAAAUCUUUGCCACAUCAGCAAGCCAAGCCACUGUGGUGACAACACUGGAUCUUUAACCACUAGGCCACCAGGGUACUCAAGUGCUGAAUUUUUUUAAAAAAUGUAGCUUCUAAUUUUUUUUGUCAAUUAAUAGCAAAGAUGAAGUUUUGAUGAAUGAAUCUUUACAGUUAAUUAUAUAUCUUAUUUCCAUUUUAUAGCCAUUUGGGGGGACUAGAAAUAGGAAAAGGGGGGAAAAGAUGAGCGACCAAAAUAGAUAAAGUUUUAAAGACACAAGAAGCACACAUAAGAAUGUUAGAGGCCAAUGAGGAAAACAGAUGAGUAAGCAGAGGAAGAAUAACUGUAGGAUGAGAACCUAUGCAGAUGAAGGGGAAAGUAAUCUGUAGAUGAGAUAGAAGAAAUAUAAGAGGUUUAGUAGCUUCUACGUGGAUCCCAUUUAGGUAAUGACCAUCAGAGAGUUAUGACUUGUAUAUACUUCUCUUUGAAAUGUUUUCUAUAGAGUAUUGAUAGUGUUUAGGUUUUUCUAAUGUUGAAAUUAUUUGUGGUUCUUUGCUCAUAAGCAUAAUGAGAAUAAACAUUCUCUGUGCUACAGGCCUAAUGAAAGCUGUCUCUGGCGUCCGGUUUUCCAGACUGCGCAUUACAGAUACAGUGCCUAAAAACGUUAAUGUACACACGCAAAUUCAUAAAUAAAUGAUGAGAAGUUUAUUAUAUUGACUACUAGUGCAGAGAAACAUAUUUUGCUUGGGGAAACACCAUAAUAAGCCUCUUGCAACUUGAUAUAAAGGAUGGAAUGCUGUGGGCAUGAAUGAAAGUGGCCAUCAACAUACCAAAGGAAGAGAAGCUCCUUCUAUGCAAUGAAGAGCCGGAAAUGGAAAGGGUUGGUUGGUUUCUGCAGAAAGUAUAAGAUAGCGGGAGAGAAGGAUUGAGGAAGACAGGUUGAGGGAAAGAAUGAGUCUGGACUUAGCAAAGAGCCACUGUUUUUCAUUUGAACCUGUUUACCUUGCUGAUAUUGAGUCAUUGUUCUGUCUCUCUUCACAAAACAUUAAAAGGUCUGUAUACAAAUGCUUGAAGUAGGGGAUUUUCUUAAAGAAGAGGAGGCACUCAAGCAUUGAAAGAGUAUGUGCAGUAGCUUAGCUCAGGAAACAGAAGAUACUAUUAGAAAGCAAAAAUCCCCACUGCUCACCUCUUCCAAAAAUUCAGGAAAAGUUCAGGGAGGACUUGAAGUUGGUAAUUUGUAGAAUUGGAGGUGAUUGUAGUUUCUCAAAUCAGUUCUUCCUAAAUUUCUGAAGCUUUGGGAGCUAUCAAAUUAACACAGAUUUCUGUCCAGAUCUAGAAUUAUCAAAUUAUGUGGAGCUUGGUUUGGCUUUGCUUUUCCCUGUCUCAUCCAUUUAUUUCUCAUAAAAUAUGCCAGAAUGUUUGAUUCACAGUGAAUGUAUCAAAGCCAUGUUUUUCAAUGCAAUUCAAUACUGAAGGCAGUAUAUUGAAUGUUUCUGUUGUUGGACCAUUCUGUUUCAACAGUGCAGGUGGAAGAGGCAAGAAUAACAGUGAUGUAACCUCUUAAAGAGGAUUGGUGUGCUAGUUACUUUGCAGAUGGGUAAGAACGUGGCCUUAAGUGUCAAUUUGACACUGGAUUACAUCUCAGCUCCUGUAUUUAAGCUCAGGCAGAUUUCUUUAAGUUGUAGUUCCUGGAAAAUAUGGAUGAUAACAUUCUCUACCUCAAGAUUUUAGUGUGAGUAUUCUAAGAAGUAGUGCACAAAAUGUGCUUAGCAUUGUCUUUGGUGCAUGAAUACCUGGUAGCUCUUGUUGUCAAUAUAAUUGAUAAUUUUUUAAAAUCUCAAAACCAAUGGAAAUUUAGAGUCCAGUAUAUUCUCCAAGUAUGGAAGAGGUGAAGUUUACAUUAAGGCUUAAAGAAUGUAUAGAUUUUAUACAGGUAGAAGGAAAUAAGAAUCUUAGCUCAAUAUAAAAAGAAACAUACUCAGAUGUAGGAAUUAACAUGGCACAUAUGGGGGAGAGGGUUUCUACCUGAUUGAUUGGAAUUCAAGGUAGAUAUGUUUGUGAUGGCAGAAAAUAAGGUUAAAUAUGAAAAAUGGGUAUAGGAUACAGCACAUCUUGAACUUCUGAAGAAUGUUGGCUCAAUAGGACAGGUCAGAAGGAGCUGUUAUAUACUUGGAAGCAUGGACAUAAGUUUGUUUCAGGAAGUUCAAUCAAUUGUGUUAUGCAAGAUGGACUGAAGCCAAAGGAACCAGACGGCUCUGUAGUUAUCAAAGAAUGAAGUGAGGAGAAAUUGGAAUAAUAUUGACUGAAAGUAAAAUGUUUUUCUUUUUAUAUAAAGCUCUAAAUCUUUAAGUAAAAGAGGAAGACUUCUGUAAGAAUGCCUCUGUACAGAAUAAAAAAAUCAGAAUGCUAUAGGUAAAGCAGUAAUAGAAGAAGGGCAUGGUAUAGCCAUAAACUUAAAUCAAGUGUCCUCAAUUUAUUACUGAAAUAUCUAAGGAUUAAUGAAUAAAUAUUGUUUAUAUCUUCUGUUACAAAAUAAAAGCAAUUUUAUGAGUUUAACCAAUGGGAACUUGGUACCACUGGAUAAAUAAUACUACUUAUGCUUGAAGCAUUGUGAGAGAAUGUUAAGUAGAUAAUUGUGAGUGUUCCACUACAUUAAAGUUUAAAAACAUCUUCCUAAAAACAUACGAACUUGAGGGUCCCAUGUUAUACAAAAAUGUUAUCUUUUUUUUUACCAUUAGUAAUGGUAUGGCUGGAGUUCCCAUGGUGGCUCAGUGGUAAUGAACCUGGCUAGUAUCCAUGACAAUGAUCCCUGACCUUGCUCAAUGGGCUAAGGAUCUGGCGUUGCUGUGAGCUGUGGUAUGGGUCACAGAUGAGUCUUGGAUUCUGCGUUGCUGUGGCUGUGGCAUAGUCCAGCAGAUACAGCUUCGACUCGACAUUAGCCUGGGAACUUCCAUAUGCUGUGGGUA
ensembl:lncRNA